CACGCCUCCUCACAGCGGGUUUUCUCCUGCGACGAGCCCGUGUCUCGCUGAAGGAGAGCCGGCGGCCCGUGAAGGUCUCACGUCCAUCAGAGACUCAAUGAUCAACGUGUUCGGAACGAUGAAGAGGAGACAUUUAGUACGAGGUGAAGACAGGUUGGAUCUCACUCUGUGUCUCACCGUCUUUAUGUGAACAUGAAUACAGGUGAGGUAACACACACCUUUAAAUUCUUCUUUAGGGAGGUAACACACACACACACACACGCACACACGCACACACGCACACGCGCACACACACACGCACACGCACGUAAAGGUAUAAAUCCUCUCCGACCCGUGAGACCUGUCCACCCUGCAUUCACACCUGAUUCUUCAACAGGGCGAGUCCACAGAGGGCGGGGCUACCCGCAGGUAAGCCGGCCUCCAGAAGCCCCGCCCAAUGCCUUCAGCCCCGCCCACCUCCAUGCUUAUAUACAGUAAACACACAGUGGAGGCAGCAGUGACUAUCAGCAGCAGCCAUGGACAGAAUGAUCUCCAAGAUGGCCGGUCAGAAAGUGGAGGAGCUUGUGGAGGACACCAUGAGCAAAGUCAUGGGUAAGAAGGAAGGGCAGGAGGAGGAGAAGAAAGGACCGACGGCUUUGGCCUCGAUGACGCCCUCUCGAUGGUCAGCGGGGGCAAUAAGAAGGAAGACAAGAGCAAGGGGAAGGAAGACAAGAGCAAGGGGGGAGGGGCCAACGCAGUGAUGGGGGCCCUCGGCGGCUUCUUUAAGUAGAGACCCGGACCAGCUGCAGACCGUCGAGAAUCACUCUACAUAUUUACCAAUGAUUUGAACAUUUAAAGCACAAUAAAACUUUUGGACUACAUGUUUUGUACGAGCUGCAGAGCCGACGGAGACGUUUGUGUUUUCUUUACUGUGUUUUACCAACGUUGACCUGAACUUUACUGGUGUGUCGCUGCGUGAAAUGAAGAGAUCUCAGUCACCCGGAGACGAGCGGCCCUGUGGGUCACGGAUCCUAUUAAACCGUCAGGAAACAGAGCGGAAGAAGGAAACAGAGACAUUACAAAUAGUAGAGAAAUAGCAGAAAACAGUUGUAUCCACCAAAUGUUGUGUAUCGCUUUUCAGAAGCCUGAAGAAAAUAGUCAAUAGUGAACAAGAAUAGACGAUAGUUCCGAUGCAACAGACAAACAGCAUUGUUGCCUAAAACUAAACGUUUGUUGAUGAUCAGAUGGACGUUGAUUUGUCCGUCGUCGGAAAACGUCCCAGGUCUCCUUGAUCGACCUCUCAUUCAUUCACAUUGCUCGUUUUAUAAAAGUUUCCAUUAAAAUAACAAAAAUGACUGUGUUUACCGGUGCCUCGGUGUUGGAAGUGUCUUCACCAGCCAGGAUAUUAAUCCUGUCCUUUAGAUUUGGCGCCCAGUGGCUUUGAAGGGAGCUUUCAUAUUCAUGUCCACUCACGUUGCUUCACAUCGCAGGGAUCAGCGUAGAGGACACAGCAUGUCACAUUGUGUCGAGAUAAUGACGCCCGUUGGCUCCGUUCUGGACCUGCGACAGAGACAGACGGUUUAAUUAAUUAAGGACUUGCUGACUAAAGCGCGUAAAGAUUACUGAGGCCAAGACCAAAGGUCAUUGGUUCUUUGGGUCCAGGUAAACUGCAGGUGAAUACAUGGAGCCACGGCGACUGGACCUGUUGGUCCAGGGCUGGUCCUGAAUCUUCAUGAUUAGUUGUCUCCGCGUUGAAUGCCAUGCUAGCACACCUCUGUUGAUCACACCACCACGUGGUUAGCUGGCGGUUCCCCUCCUUCCCUCGCCGUCCAAAGUGCGGUUGGACAUCGGCUGCAAUUUAGUCGCUAUCAUCUACGACCAGGAGGCCAUAUUUAGGACAUGGGCUGCAGGCCGGCUCCUCCGCCCAGAGACAGACGAGUCUCCUGCAGGCUUCCCCGGAUUAUGUACCGGAUCUGGCCAAUGUUUCUCCCCGGGAACUUUGCCAGUCCGGCGUGGUUCAUGGAACGGGAACCCUGCUCUGCUACUUGGGCUCUUUCCACAGGCUCGACUUCUCCAUCGGGCCGCCUGAUGUUCCUCGUUUGGUCCUCCCUCCACGUGACCUGUGGUCAGGGUGCUUAGCUGAUGCUGAUGCUGAUGCUGAUGCUGAUGCUGAUGCUAAUAGCUGCACUGACUCCAGCAGCCACUGAGGCAGCCUGUGUGGUUUGGUUUCUGGUAGUAGUGAAUUAGAAGUUGGAGGAGGUGGGUUGCUACCCCCCCCCCCCAGAGGUCCAGUCCUUUGCCUCGUACAA
ensembl:lncRNA